CCAAACUUGGUCAUUUAGAGGAAGUAAAAGUCGUAACAAGGUUUCCGUAGGUGAACCUGCGGAAGGAUCAUUAGUGAAUAAACUUGUGUGGGUUGUUGCUGGCCCUUUCGAGGGCAUGUGCACGCUCGCCAUCGUUUCAUUCCUCCCCUUCCACCUGUGCACUUUCUGUAGAUCAGGCCGUCGUCCCUCAGUUGUGCUUUGCACUCUGGUGUGAGGACCUGCUCUGGCUGUCCUUGGAUGGUCUUGGUCUAUGUCCUUAUCAACUCUUAUGUAUGGUACCGAACGAUUGUCUGGGUUCUUACAACCCAUAAAACCCUAUACAACUUUCAACAACGGAUCUCUUGGCUCUCGCAUCGAUGAAGAACGCAGC
rnacentral:misc_RNA from 1 species